rnacentral:tRNA from 1 species
CAUUAGAUGACUGAAAGCAAGUAAAGGUCUCUUAAACCUCCCUAUAGUAUUAUAGCACCUACUUCUGAUG